GUGCCCGCUUCGAGAGCACAUACACUAAAAUUGGAACAAUACAGAGUAGCACGGGCCCUGCACAAGGAUGACACGCAAAUUCAUGAAGCGUUCCACAGAAAG
rfam:Pteropus alecto contig164046, whole genome shotgun sequence.